AGUAGACACAAAAUUAUCAAUAAAAUGCUCCUAAUGGAAAGUUAUGUUGUUCUAACUCUUCAUUUUUCUUGAAGUACUUGUAGCCAACACCCGUGUCCGACAUAUUUUAGGACAUGAGUAUGUGAAAAAUGAACAUAUCCAUGCUGGAUACAUACCCGUAUCCAACACACACAAGUCCGAGAAUAUAGAUGAGAAGGGGAGUUUUCUUACCUUAAGGUAGUUGAUACUCAGCCCUGAAAAUAAUUGCUUCCAGCCUUGAUUUUUAGCUAUCAUAACGAGUGUUUCCAUUGUUCCUUUCAACUCAGGACUAUUGGAUGCCAAGAGCCUUUGGACCUAACCACAAGAAUUCUCAUUAUUACAUAAAAAUUCCAGGUUUGAUCACUUUUCAACCAUGAAUUUGGAUUGAAAUGAGUUUGAAAUACCUGCAUUUGCCUCCUCACAACAUCAAGAGGAUAUGUGAAAGUUUGUCCCAAUAAACCAGCUACUGAUCCACACACCAGAUUGACCAUUAUAUUUUUCUUCUGAUCAUCCGGGACAUGGCGUUUCAUCUCCUCGUAGAAGUAAAACUUCAAACCCGCAUAUGGGAAGAUUCCAUAAAGCGAUGGAGCUGCAAAUCGAACCCCA
rnacentral:lncRNA from 1 species